GACGAACGCUGGCGGCGUGCUUAACACAUGCCAGUCGAACGGAAAGGCCCUGCUUUUGUGGGGUGCUCGAGUGGCGAACGGGUGAGUAACACGUGAGUAACCUGCCCUUGACUUUGGGAUAACUUCAGGAAACUGGGGCUUAUACCGGAUAGGAGCUCCUGCUGCAUGGUGGGGGUUGGAAAGUUUCGGCGGUGGGGGAGGGACUCGCGGCUUAUCAGCUUGUUGGUGGGGUAGUGGCUUACCAAGGCGUUGACGGGUCGCCGGCCUGGGAGGGUGACCGGCAUAAUGGGUACGAGGAUACGGCCAAGCCUCCGAGGGGAGGCAGCGGGGGGAAUUGUGCCAAAGGGGGAGGAAGCAUGCAGCGGCACCGCGGGGGGGGGGAGGACGGCCUGGGGGUUGAAACCCGUUUGCCCUGUUGAAGAACGUGGGGUGACGGUAAUGGGAAAAGAAGCACCGGCUAACUACGUG
rnacentral:rRNA from 1 species